rnacentral:rRNA from 1 species
CGAUAACGAACGAGACUCUCUCCUGCUAACUAGUCGGUUGGAUCUUGCUCGGUGAGUCGUGUGCCGGGAACACUCGGGCGUCCGUGGCGCGUACGGGAAUUUGUGGUGGUCUGGUGUGUCGUUGGUGUUUGUGUAGCUACGGUUGCGCUUCAUCUCGGCGUGCUUUUCCGCUCUUUUUUUCACGCGUGUACACGGGUUUCGUUCGAACCUCGGGCCACACACUCCAAGUCCGCCGCUUAUGCUAUAACUCUUCUUAGAGGGAUUCACGGUACUGAAGCCGUCAGAAACUGAGAGCAAUAACAGGUCUGUGAUGCCCUUAGAUGCUCUGGGCCGCACGCGCGCUACAAUGCCGGGCACAGCAGGUAUCUCUCCCGCUCCGACAGGAGCGGGUAACCCUCUGAAAGCCCUUGGUUUUUCUCUCGUGUCUCUGAGAUACGAUCGGCGUGCUUGGGCCUGGGGCUUGAAAUUCUUUCCCACAAACGAGGAAUGCCUAGUAGCGGCGGGUCACUGAGCCCGCUGUGACUCAGUCCCUGCCCUUUGUACACACCGCCCGUCGCUACUACCGAUUGGGUGUACCAGUGAGAGCCUUGGACUGGCGUCCGUUGCCUUCGGGCAAGCGGUUUUCGACGGAAAGAGGUUCGAACUGAUGCACUUA